GCCUGGCUAGCUCAAUCGGUAGAGCGUGAGACUCUUAAUUCUAAAAAGCAAUCUCAAGGCUGUGGGUUCAAGCCCCACGUCGGGCU
rnacentral:tRNA from 2 species